GCCUAGCUGGCUCAGUCGGUAGAGCAUGCAACUCUUGAUCUCCGGGUCGUGAGUUCAAGCCCCACACUGGGUG
rfam:Felis catus isolate Cinnamon breed Abyssinian chromosome D2, whole genome shotgun sequence.